rnacentral:lncRNA from 1 species
AGUGUUGGCCCAUACAGGGAUGCUAGGGAGGUCUUGCUGCCUCUCCUUCCACUGGCUAGCUGGCUGCUUCCAGAAUAGCCACCACUGAUACCUGCCCCAGCCCCAGCUCUUCUGGGCUGAGGGAGCUCCAUUUAGUCUGAUUUAUGUCUUUCCAAGAGCCAUGGUCUCAGGGCCAUAAGGAAAGAGAUCCUUACCAUAGACUUGUGGUCUCAAAGGCAUGCAUUUAGGAAACAUGGGCUUGCCAGUGACACUGUCCACCUUGACCCCAGGUACUGCUGUGGGCUGCAGAGAUCAGGGAGGGUACUGGACUCUCCCUCUGCCACCCAAACUCCCAGCCUUCUUGUCUCAGAUCCAGGGCCAACCCACCAUAAUCCCUGGCCUGAGCUCCAAGCCCUGGGGAGGGAAGGAAGUGGCUGACCCCACGGCCAGCAUUCCUCUGUGAUGACUACAGUCCGCCUUCUGCCCAGCCAUCCCAGCUGGAAGGCAGUUCUCAGGGAACUACAAGGGAAGCCCCUCCCACAAAAGCCAAGGCAUCUUCUGCAGAGUGGGGCUUCCUUCAACUGGGGACAUGGCAGGACCUGAGUGGGCUAGGGGUCCUGUGGGGGAGCAGGUCAGAAGGCAUAUGGACCUCACAGAUGCCUCGAACUCACCCUACUCCUUUUCUCACUUAGUAAACAGUCACAAGCCCCCCGUGGAGGUUGGUGGGUUCUAGAUCCAGGAGACUAGACCAGACAGUCAGGGCUCACUCUCAAGGGCUCCAAGUCAUGUUCGGGGAAAUCCUCCAACAAAUAAGCAAAAGAGGACACUACGGAUAUGAUCUCAGUAAGGAGACCUCAUCGUAUAAGGACAAUAAGAUGGGAUGUGACAGUGAGGGGACAGCUGGGGACCUCAGUCAUUUGAGGGGAUAUCCCAAUUCCUCAGAUCCCACCUGCCUGCGCACAGUCCCCUCUUUCCCCGCGUGCACACCCUCAAACCCCUUAGCUUGUAGAACUCCUCCCUCAUUCCCUAAAGGCCACC